ACGGGACCCGCACAAGCGGUGGAUGAUGUGGAUUAAUUCGAUGCAACGCGAAAACCUUACCUACCCUUGACAUGUCUGGAACCUUGGUGAGAGCCGAGGGUGCCUUCGGGAGCCAGAACACAGGUGCUGCAUGGCUGUCGUCAGCUCGUGUCGUGAGAUGUUGGGUUAAGUCCCGCAACCGAGCGCAACCCUUGUCACUAGUUGCCAUCAUUUGGUUGGGCACUCUAGUGAGACUGCCGGUGACAAACCGGAGGAAGGUGGGGAUGACGUCAAGUCCUCAUGGCCCUUAUGGGUAGGGCUUCACACGUCAUACAAUGGUCGGUACAGAGGGUUGCCAAGCCGCGAGGUGGAGCAAAUCCUAAAAAGCCGGUCUCAGUUCGGAUUGCAAGCUGCAAUUCGCCUGCAUGAAGUCGGAAUCGCUAGUAAUCGCAGGUCAGCAUACUGCGGUGAAUACGUUCCCGGGCCUU
rnacentral:rRNA from 1 species